rnacentral:rRNA from 1 species
UACAGAGGGGGCAAGCGUUAUUCGGAAUUAUUGGGCGUAAAGGGCGCGUAGGCGGCCUGGCAAGUGGAAGGUGAAAUCCCUCGGCUUAACCGAGGAACUGCCCUCCAAACUGCUUGGCUUGAGUCCGGGAGAGGUGAGUGGAAUUCCCAGUGUAGCGGUGAAAUGCGUAGAUAUUGGGAAGAACACCGGUGGCGAAGGCGGCGACCUGGUCCGAUACUGACGCUGAGGCGCGAAAGCGUGGGGAGCAAACAGG